CAGCCGCGGUAAUACCCGCUCCCCCGAAUGGUGGGGACGCUUAUUGGGCCUAAAGCAUCCGUAGCCGGCUGGAUAACGUCCCCUGUUAAAUCCAGCGAUUCAAUCGCUGGACUGGCGGGGGAUACUGUCCAGCGUAGGGGCGGGAGAGGCCGACGUAUUCCCCGGGUAGGGGUGAAAUCUUAUAAUCCCGGGAGGACCACCAGUGGCGAAGGC
rnacentral:rRNA from 1 species